rnacentral:rRNA from 1 species
CGCCUAACACAUGCAAGUCGAACGGAGUGGCGGACGGGUGAGUAACGCGUGAGUAACCUGCCCUUAUGAGUGGAAUAACGUCCGGAAACAGACGCUAAUACCGCAUACAUAAGGAUGGACUCGCGUCCCAUUAGAUAGUUGGCGGGGUAACGGCCCACCAAGUCAGCGAUGGGUAGCCGGACUGAGAGGUUGACCGGUCACAUUGGAACUGAGAGACGGUCCAGACUCCUACGGGAGGCAGCAGUGGGGAAUAUUGGGCAAUGGGCGAAAGCCUGACCCAGCGACGCCGCGUGAGCGAAGAAGGUCUUCGGAUUGUAAAGCUCUGUUGAUAGGGACGCGGUACCUAUCGAGGAAGCCACGGCUAACUACGUGCCAGCAGCCGCGGUAAAACGUAGGGUGCAAGCGUUGUCCGGAAUUACUGGGUGUAAAGGGAGCGCAGGCGGGAAGACAAGUUGGAAGUGAAAACCAUGGACUCAACCCAUGAAUUGUUUUCAAAACUGUUUUUCUUGAGUAGUGCAGAGGUAGAUGGAAUUCCCGGUGUAGCGGUGGAAUGCGUAGAUAUCGGGAGGAACACCAGUGGCGAAGGCGGUCUACUGGUCACCAACUGACGCUGAGGCUCGAAAGCAUGGGUAGCAAACAGGAUUAGAUACCCUGGUAGUCCAUGCCGUAAACAUGAUUACUAGGUGUGGGGCCGUGCCGGAGUUAACACAAUAAGUAAUCCACCUGGGG